rnacentral:rRNA from 1 species
GUGGGGAAUAUUGGACAAUGGGCGAAAGCCUGAUCCAGCCAUGCCGCGUGUGUGAAGAAGGUCUUCGGAUUGUAAAGCACUUUAAGUUGGGAGGAAGGGCAGUAAGUUAAUACCUUGCUGUUUUGACGUUACCGACAGAAUAAGCACCGGCUAACUUCGUGCCAGCAGCCGCGGUAAUACGAAGGGUGCAAGCGUUAAUCGGAAUUACUGGGCGUAAAGCGCGCGUAGGCGGCUUUUUAAGUCGGAGGUGAAAUCCCCGGGCUCAACCUGGGAACUGCCUCCAAAACUACUGGGCUAGAGUACGGUAGAGGGUAGUGGAAUUUCCUGUGUAGCGGUGAAAUGCGUAGAUAUAGGAAGGAACACCAGUGGCGAAGGCGACUACCUGGACUGAUACUGACACUGAGGUGCGAAAGCGUGGGGAGCAAACAGGAUUAGAUACCCGUGUAGUCC